GACAUAUGCUGAUAGCUUCUAGGAACCACAGAUGAAAGCUGAGUGCAGAGUGGGAACCAAAGGUAGACAAAUAUCCCAGAAGGUGCACAACAUGUCCCCCACCACAGGUACACGUGGUAGCUCUCACAUUUCCAAGGAUCCUGUGUACGUCUCUAGGCUGUACAAAUUGAAAUGUAUCCAGUUUCAGCGAGUCUGAACUCCGUAAAGUAGUGAUCCAACCAUGACAAUGGAGCUAUAGAAUGUUCCUGCACUCUAAGACCACCAUCAUCCAAUUCUGCACAGAAUACCAAGUCCAGAGUGCACCCAGAUGCAUGAGUAGGGCCAGAAAUUACUUGGGACAGAGUCGGGCUUCUGACAGAAUACUUGUCCAUCAUUGGGCAGGUAACAGAGUGCACGUGGGCAGUCAAGGAUUACCAUUACUGAUGCUACCACUGAUGCGGAAGACAGGACAGAACAAAAGAGAGAAAUGUCUGAGUAGGCUGGUGAAGUGAGCUAAGCAAGCAAGUGGCCCAGGAAGAAGUCACUGCCAUGCCCACAUUGCUGCCACCACCAAAAGAAGGAAGACUGCACUUCAAAACUGCAGGCUUUCUUUUGUGGGUCAAUAUGGCAGGGGGUGGGGAUGAAGGAGAAAACUCCUUCUGCCCCUUGGUCUUCCUGCCCCCUGGUGGCAGGCGGCCCCAGCAGGAACAACGAGUGAGUCACUGGCCCAGGCAGGUGGAGCAGGUGGUGAAAGGGCGAAAUCACUAACCAAUAUCAUGGAUUGUUACUGGAUGAGGAGGUGUGAGGUCCACCAGAUGCAGUAAUCCCCUCUCCUCACUCCUCCCCCAUCUUGGAAAGUGGCUGUGACCCAAAAAGUCAGGAAAACAACAGUGCCCCAUCCAUGCUGCCACCAAGAGGUUUAAUUAUGAAAUCUUAUAUAUCCUAUUAGCAUACAUGGAGUAAGAUAAUCCUGACUUUAAUAUCUCAUAUUUAAGUCACAUUUUUCUAA